GACGGGGCCGCACAGCGGUGGAGCAUGUGGUUUAAUUCGAAGCAACGCGAAGAACCUUACCAGGUCUUGACAUCCCCUGACAACCCGAGAGAUCGGGCGUUCCCCCUUCGGGGGACAGGGUGACAGGUGGUGCAUGGUUGUCGUCAGCUCGUGUCGUGAGAUGUUCGGUUAAGUCCGGCAACGAGCGCAACCCACACUCCUGGUUGCCAGCAUUCAGUUGGGCACUUUAGGAGAACUGCCGGUGAUAAGCCGGAGGAAGGUGUGGAUGACGUCAAGUCCUCAUGGCCCUUACGGGUUGGGCUACACACGUGCUACAAUGGUGGUGACAAUGGGCUAAUCCCAAAAAGCCAUCUCAGUUCGGAUUGGGGUCUGCAACUCGACCCCAUGAAGUCGGAAUCGCUAGUAAUCGCGUAACAGCAUGACGCGGUGAAUACGUUCCCGGGCCUU
rnacentral:rRNA from 1 species